CACGUGUUGACGUAACGCGAAGGUAGCGCUCCUCCCUUGACGAUAUUUUUUUUUGGUCUACGAGAUAUCGACCUAUCCUGUGCAGUUGCCAUUCGUCGAAAUCUGUUUGUUAGUCUCUAAUCUGUUGCUUUAUGCACAUUGAAUUGAGCCACGAUGUCAGCAACAUUCAUUCCGGCAUCAAUAAUUCCAAGAGCUUUCUGACGGUCAUUUUUGGGGAGGCCUAGUUGAUGCCCUAUGCAUUUUUUUCAAAAGUGUAUGUGUUUUUCUUACCAAUGGCGUGUUUCUGAACGUUAGUGAAAAAGAUUUUUUUAAUAUCGUUUUUAAAGUACAGGAACAGAAGGUAAAACAUCAAUUACACAUGCAAAGCUGAAAUGGCGCGAAAUCGAUCACCAGGAAAAAAGUUCGACAGUUUCGAAUUAC
rnacentral:lncRNA from 1 species